ACCCUGAUAGCUCAGUUGGUAAAGAAUCUACCUGCAAUGCAGGAGACCCUGGUUCGAUUCCUGGUUUGGGAA
rnacentral:tRNA from 1 species